rnacentral:rRNA from 1 species
CUUCUCCUGCCGGCGAGUGGCGAACGGGUGAGUAAUACAUCGGAACGUGCCCUGUAGUGGGGGAUAACUAGUCGAAAGAUUAGCUAAUACCGCAUACGACCUGAGGGUGAAAGUGGGGGACCGCAAGGCCUCAUGCUAUAGGAGCGGCCGAUGUCUGAUUAGCUAGUUGGUGGGGUAAAGGCCCACCAAGGCGACGAUCAGUAGCUGGUCUGAGAGGACGAUCAGCCACACUGGGACUGAGACACGGCCCAGACUCCUACGGGAGGCAGCAGUGGGGAAUUUUGGACAAUGGGCGAAAGCCUGAUCCAGCAAUGCCGCGUGUGUGAAGAAGGCCUUCGGGUUGUAAAGCACUUUUGUCCGGAAAGAAAUGGCUCUGGUUAAUACCUGGGGUCGAUGACGGUACCGGAAGAAUAAGGACCGGCUAACUACGUGCCAGCAGCCGCGGUAAUACGUAGGGUCCAAGCGUUAAUCGGAAUUACUGGGCGUAAAGCGUGCGCAGGCGGUUGUGCAAGACCGAUGUGAAAUCCCCGAGCUUAACUUGGGAAUUGCAUUGGUGACUGCACGGCUAGAGUGUGUCAGAGGGGGGUAGAAUUCCACGUGUAGCAGUGAAAUGCGUAGAGAUGUGGAGGAAUACCGAUGGCGAAGGCAGCCCCCUGGGAUAACACUGACGCUCAUGCACGAAAGCGUGGGGAGCAAACAGGAUUAGAUACCCUGGUAGUCCACGCCCUAAACGAUGUCAACUAGUUGUUGGGGAUUCAUUUCCUUAGUAACGUAGCUAACGCGUGAAGUUGACCGCCUGGGGAGUACGGUCGCAAGAUUAAAACUCAAAGGAAUUGACGGGGACCCGCACAAGCGGUGGAUGAUGUGAUUAAUUCGAUGCAACGCGAAAAACCUUACCUACCCUUGA